AUUGAACGCUGGCGGCAUGCUUUACACAUGCAAGUCGAACGGCAGCACGGGUGCUUGCACCUGGUGGCGAGUGGCGAACGGGUGAGUAAUGCAUCGGAACGUGCCCAUGAGUGGGGGAUAGCCCGGCGAAAGCCGGAUUAAUACCGCAUACGCCCUUAGGGGGAAAGCGGGGGAUCUUCGGACCUCGCGCUAUUGGAGCGGCCGAUGUCGGAUUAGCUAGUAGGUGAGGUAAAGGCUCACCUAGGCGACGAUCCGUAGCUGGUCUGAGAGGAUGAUCAGCCACACUGGGACUGAGACACGGCCCAGACUCCUACGGGAGGCAGCAGUGGGGAAUUUUGGACAAUGGGCGCAAGCCUGAUCCAGCCAUGCCGCGUGAGUGAAGAAGGCCUCGGUUGUAAGAC
rnacentral:rRNA from 1 species